UGGCACUGUGAAAACUGACUAAUACCUCA
rnacentral:piRNA from 1 species